rnacentral:rRNA from 1 species
CCUACGGGUGGCAGCAGUGAGGAAUAUUGGUCAAUGGACGAGAGUCUGAACCAGCCAAGCAGCGUGAGGGAUGAAUGCCCAAUGGAUUGUAAACUUCUUUUAUAUGGGAAUAAAAUGUUCCACGUGUGGGAUUUUGUAUGUACCAUAGGAAUAAGGAUCGGCUAACUCCGUGCCAGCAGCCGCGGUAAUACGGAGGAUCCGAGCGUUAUCCGGAUUUAUUGGGGUUAAAGGGAGCGUAGGUGGAUUGUUAAGUCAGUUGUGAAAGUUUGCGGCUCAACCGUAAAAUUGCAGUUGAAACUGGCAGUCUUGAGUACAGUAGAGGUGGGCGGAAUGCGGGGUGUAGCGGUGAAAUGCUUAGAUAUCACGAAGAACUCCGAUUGCGAAGGCAGCACACUGGA